GGAAAACUUUGAGGAGGUCCCGGAGAAUGACCAGCAACCUCACAGACAGAAUCCUGGAGGCAAAUGAACUGAUGAACCUGGCAGAUUUCCCAUCUUCAAACAAUGAUGGUUCAUGCUGACACUCUGUCCCUGGCUGCAGAGGGCACCUCUUUUUUUGUUCACCUGACAAAAAACAACAAUUGGAUUGGUCUCUCCCAGACCACGUGGUCCUCACAGGCUGCCCAUCAUGGGCCUCAACUCCCCUGACCACGUGGGACAGGCACAAGACCCACAGUACUCUGUUCAGACUCUCUCUCAGGCAUCUGAAAUUUCCAUGGAGACAGAAGGACAAAAGGACAGAGCUGUCUUUUCAACAAAUGUUGCUGGGAGAACUGGAUAUCUACUUGCCGAAGAAUGAAGUCAUACCCUUAUCUCACAGUAUCUACAAAAACUAGCUUAAAAUAGACUAAAGAGCUAAACGGAAAAGUUAAAAUUAUAAAACAUAAGGAGAAAGCUUCAUGGCAUUGGAUUUGGCAGUGAUUUCUUCUUUAUGACACUAAAAGCACAGGCGACAAAAGAAAAAAGACGGAAAUUGGACUCCAAAAUGAAGAAUUUUGCACAUCAAAAGGCACUGUAAACAGAGUAAAAAGACAACCUAUAGGCCGGGCGCGUGGGGCUCACGCCUGUAAUCCCAACACUUUGGGAAGCCGAGGCAGGUGGAUCAUGAAGUCAGGAGAUCGAGACCAUCCUGGCUAACACGGUGAAACCUUAAAAAUACAAAAACAAAAUGAGCCGGGCGUGGUGGCGGGCACCUGUAGUCCCAGCUACUAGAGAGGCUGAGGCGGGAGAAUGGCGUGAACCCAGGAGGCGGAGCUUGCAGCGAGCCGAGAUCGCGCCACUGCACUACAGAGCAAGACUCCGUCUCAAAAAAAAAAAAAAAAGAAAAGAAAAAAAGACAACCUAUAGAAUGCGAGAAAAUGUUUGUAAAUCAAAUUCCUAAUAAAAAAUUAAUAUUCAUAAUAUGUAAAGGACUCCUAUAACUCAACAACAACAAUUAAAAACUAGGCAAAGGACUUCAAUAGACAUUUCUCCAAAUAAGUUAUACAAAUGGCCAAUGAGCCCAGGAAGAGAUGUUCAGCAUCACUAAUCAUUAGGGAAAUGGAAACCAAAACCACAGUGAGAUCCCACCUCACACCCAUUAGGAUGGCUACUAUCAAACAAGCAGAGAAUAGCAGGUGUUGGUGAGGAUGUAGAGGGAUUGGAAGGAACUCUUGCGCAUUGCUGGUGGAAAUGUAAAAUGGUGCAGCUACUAUGGAAAGCAGCACAGAAGUUCCUCAAAAACUUAAAAAUAGAAUUACCAUAUGAUCCAGCAAUUUUGUUUCUAGGUGCAUACCCAAAGGAAUUGAAGGCUGGAACUCAAAGAGUUAUUUGUACACCUAUGUUUGCAACAGCAUCAUUUACAGUAGUGUGAAAAGAUCACCGUGGGCAUGUUAACAUUUUAAAGCAUUUAUGUGAGCAGACAAUGAUUCAUGAAUCUGGUAGCACCAAACUGCAAGUAGUUUGGGCUCCACCAAGAGGGUGUGAGGGGAAAAUUGUUAAAAGGUGAUCAUGAAAGCAAGACAAAGAAAAUAUUUGAUUGGCUAAGGCAGGAAGUCUCCAGUUAGAGGUCAGCUGGAGGUUUCUGAUUGGUAAAUUCUGUAGUGAGAGGUUAGUUAGCAGUUUCUGAAUGGUUAAGCUGGGGUUUCAUUUUCCCAGGCUAUGGUCACUCACACUGAAUGGGGUUUCAGUUUGCUUAUGUAGGAAUCCAAGGUGCUGGGUUCUCAGCCAAAUGGACUCCAAAUUAAUUGUUUUUAACAAUAGCCAAAAGGUUAAUCAGCUCAAAUGUCCACUGAUGGAAUGAGUCAAUUAAUUUGUUUACUUGUCCAUGAAUGAGUAAACAAAAUGUGGUAUAUACAUACAAUUAAAUAUUAUUCAGCCUUAAAAAGGAAGAAAAUUCUGACCCAUGCCAUAAUGUGGAUGAACUUUGAAGACAUUACGCUAAGUAAGAUAAGCCAGUCACAAAAAUAACAAACUCUGUGUGAUUCCCCUCAUAGGGGGUCCAUAGUCAAAUUCAUAGAAACAGAAUAGUGGUUGUGGGGGCUGGGCAGAGGGGGAGUCAUUGUCUAAUUUGUGGUGUUAAAUUAAGCUUAGCCUAAAGCUGACUGCUUACAUAUUUUAAGUUUAGCCUAAAGAUCCCUCCAUACAUGGUGAACUGUCUCCUAACUGGAUGUAUGAACAGAUUGUAACCUACUCUUGUACCAGUCACUGAGUUUCUGCAAAUCAAAGGUGACCAGACCCUGUUUAAAUACGGCAAACAUUGAGCUGUAGCCAAUACAGUAGUUUCUGCACCUCACUUCCAGUUUCUGUACAUUACUUUCCUUUUUCUGUCCAGCGAUCUUUGACCAUGCUGCAGCAACGGGG
rnacentral:lncRNA from 1 species